rnacentral:rRNA from 1 species
UACGGAGGGGGCGAGCGUUAUUCGGAAUUACUGGGCGUAAAGCGCGUGUAGGCGGCCAUCUAAGUCGGGCGUGAAAUCCCACGGCUCAACCGUGGAAGUGCACUCGAAACCGUAUGGCUAGAGUCCGGAAGAGGAGAGUGGAAUUCCUGGUGUAGCGGUGAAAUGCGCAGAUAUCAGGAAGAACACCCGUGGCGAAGGCGGCUCUCUGGGACGGUACUGACGCUGAGACGCGAAAGCGUGGGGAGCGAACAGG